rnacentral:rRNA from 1 species
ACUCCUACGGGAGGCAGCAGUAGGGAAUCUUCCACAAUGGACGAAAGUCUGAUGGAGCAACGCCGCGUGAACGAUGAAGGCCUCGGUCGUAAGUACUGUUGUAGGUAAGAACAAGUAGCGCAGGCGAAUGGCGGCGACCUUGACGGUACCGUUGCGAGAAAGCCACGGCUAACUACGUGCCAGCAGCCGCGGUAAUACGUAGGUGGCAAGCGUUGUCCGGAAUUAUUGGGCGUAAAGCGCGCGCAGGCGGCCUCUUAAGUCUGAUGUGAAAGCCCCGGCUCAACCGGGGGAGGGCCGAUUGGAAACUGGGAGGCUUGAGUAUAGGAGAGAAGAGUGGAAUUCCACGUGUAGCGGUGAAAUGCGUAGAGAUGUGGAGGAACACCAGUGGCGAAGGCGACGUCUUUGGCCUAUAACUGACGCUGAGGCGCGAAAGCGUGGGGAGCAAACAGGGAUUAGAUACCCUGGUAGGAUAGCG